rnacentral:rRNA from 1 species
UACGAAGGGGGCGAGCGUUGUUCGGAUUUACUGGGCGUAAAGGGCGCGCAGGCGGCUCAUUUUGUCAGGCGUGAAAGCCCCGGGCUUAACCUGGGAGGUGCGUUUGAUACGGAUGGGCUAGAGUUCGGGAGAGGAGCGUGGAAUUCCCAGUGUAGAGGUGAAAUUCGUAGAUAUUGGGAAGAACACCGGUGGCGAAGGCGGCGCUCUGGACCGAGACUGACGCUGAGGCGCGAAAGCUAGGGGAGCAAACGGG